UUCCAUAUAUUAAGAAAAUAAUUAUAAAACCAAUUCCAUAUGAAACCGGGUCAGAAUUAGAAAAAAGCGCGGAUCCUAUUACGGGUCAAAAACUAAACGGGUCAAAUAUAAAUGAAAAAAUUGUCUUUGCGCGUUUCUUCUCCUCCUCCUCCUCUCUCCAUCUCUCUUCGCGCCCCCAGCGGCUCUCUCUGUGCCCUAGCCGAUUAAUCUUUACGAUCAAUGGCUGCGAGUGUGCCCUAGCUGAUUAAUCUCUACAAUCAAUGGAUAAUCAGGUUGAUGCUGAGAUUCAAACUAGAGUUGCUCAAGGUGAUGUUUACAACGAGAAAGAGGCGCAACCAUAUGUGUUGGGUGGUUAUCGUAAUGAGAUAGAAGAGACUCAACACUCAUAUGGAAUUACAAUUGUUCAAGUUACAAAUGAGUGGACUAGAUUUAGGGAUAAUCUAGCUUAUACUAUUUACUAUUUACUUAUUUAUUGACAUUUGUAUAAUAUUUUCUUUUAUGAUUUGUGUAUCAAUUCGAUGUUG